rnacentral:sRNA from 12 species
UAGAGUCGGUUCCCAAAUGAUGCGCAGCAUCAUUUUUGCAUGGGACCGACGAUCUGCCGCCGAGGCAUCAGCCGAGGGGGCGGGCACUAUA